UACGUAGGGUGCAAGCGUUAAUCGGAAUUACUGGACGUAAAGCGUGCGCAGGCGGUUUCGUAAGACAGAUGUGAAAUCCCCGGGCUUAACCUGGGAACUGCAUUUGUGACUGCGAGGCUAGAGUGUGUCAGAGGGAGGUGGAAUUCCGCGUGUAGCAGUGAAAUGCGUAGAGAUGCGGAGGAACACCGAUGGCGAAGGCAGCCUCCUGGGAUAACACUGACGCUCAUGCACGAAAGCGUGGGGAGCAAACAGG
rnacentral:rRNA from 1 species